rnacentral:rRNA from 1 species
UACGUAGGGUGCAAGCGUUGUCCGGAAUUAUUGGGCGUAAAGAGCUCGUAGGCGGUUUGUCGCGUCGUUUGUGAAAACCCGGGGCUCAACUUCGGGCUUGCAGGCGAUACGGGCAGACUUGAGUGUUUCAGGGGAGACUGGAAUUCCUGGUGUAGCGGUGAAAUGCGCAGAUAUCAGGAGGAACACCGGUGGCGAAGGCGGGUCUCUGGGAAACAACUGACGCUGAGGAACGAAAGCGUGGGUAGCAAACAGG